rnacentral:rRNA from 1 species
GAUCCACUGGUGGACCAGUUGUCGUGCCAACGGCAGUGCUGGGUAGCUAUGAUCGGACAGGAUAACCGCUGAAGGCAUCUAAGCGGGAAGCCCCCCUCAAAACAAGGUAUCCCUGAGGGCCGUGGAAGACCACCACGUCGAUAGGCCGGAGGUGUAAGUGCAGCAAUGCAUUCAGCUGACCGGUACUAAUGGCCCGAUAGGCUUGAUCCG